UACAGAGGUCUCAAGCGUUGUUCGGAUUCAUUGGGCGUAAGGGUGCGUAGGCGGCGCGGUAAGUCGGGUGUGAAAUCUCGGAGCUUAACUCCGAAACUGCAUUCGAUACUGCCGUGCUUGAGGACUGGAGAGGAGACUGGAAUUUACGGUGUAGCGGUGAAAUGCGUAGAUAUCGUAAGGAAGACCAGUGGCGAAGGCGGGUCUCUGGACAGUUCCUGACGCUGAGGCACGAAGGUCAGGGGAGCAAACAGG
rnacentral:rRNA from 1 species